GACGUAGGGCGCGAGCGUUGUCCGGAUUUACUGGGCGUAAAGAGCUCGUAGGUGGUUUGUCGCGUUGUCCGUGAAAACUCACAGCUCAACUGUGGGCGUGCGGGCGAUACGGGCAGACUGGAGUACUGCAGGGGAGACUGGAAUUCCUGGUGUAGCGGUGGAAUGCGCAGAUAUCAGGAGGAACACCGGUGGCGAAGGCGGGUCUCUGGGCAGUGGCUGACGCUGAGGCGCGACAGCGUGGGGAGCAAACAGG
rnacentral:rRNA from 1 species